CCCACGGGAGCCUCCUCUGACCACCGGCCACCCCCAGCUGGCCCAGGAUGCAGACACAUUAUGAGCUGUCCUCAGCUCAGCCCUGCACAUCUGCCGGGCCAGAGUUACAUGGGACCAGAGGGCCUCAGCAAGAGAGGAGGAGAUCCCUCCGAGGACGAGCUGCACCAAGGCCUCAGGUGCUUAGGAUGAGUCUUCCCCAAAGCCUUCCCGAGAAGGACCUUGGCCAUUUACCAGUGCUAUGGGUUGACCUGUGUUGGGGCCCCAAUAAGAUGCUGCAGCCCUCACCCCCAGUACCUGUGAAUGUGGCAACAGGAUCUUUGCAGAUGACCAAGUUCAGGCUCCAUCACCCAGGAGCUGUUAGCUGAUAGCAUGGUGGAAUCUCCUGCCCAGCAGGCAGCUGGUGGACUACAGUUUGCCUACGCCUUAAACCAGAGACACAUAUGGUUCCUUCUCAGCCAAAGUGCACAUCCAGAAACCAAGCAAUAAAGCAGUGUUACAUUAAAAAGAACAAGGUAACCAAAGUUACAAAUGACUCAGGAGAAAAAGAGGACGUGCCCAGCGGCACUGGGAGCUAAGAGGGUGAGUUACAUUGUUUAUUGUUUUCCUUCCAUUCUGCUUCCCUAGUCACUGAAAUGUUUUUAAA